UAAUUUUUAAAAAUAUAAGGAUCAAAAUAUUAAAAAUAAUUAAUUAUAAAAAAUAAUCUGUAAUUAGUCCAUUAACCCACAUGGACCAUACUACAUAGUGGGUCGGAUUCAGAUCGGGUAAAGCUCACGGCUCAAGAAGAAAUUCUGAACGGUGAGAUAUUGCUGUAAGAUUUGCGCUCCAUCAGGUGCUGCUCCGGACACGGUCGGAGAAGCGGUACGAACCCUAUACCUCUUCGGCCGAUCUUUUGCUCCCCCGUCGAGUCGUCUUUUCCUCUGGUCGCGCUCGAGGCCCAGGGUUCCGAUUCGCAGUGCGAGGCAUCGUAUUAAGCGGUUUUUCGUUCAGUAAUUCAAGAAAGUUCGAAUCUUGUUCUUGAGUAAAACCCUCGUCUCUAUUGGUUUAAUCGAAACUAGAAAUACAAGAAGCAGGAUUUUCUCUGCUCCUUGCGCUCCGAUUCCUUUAGUUUGGCUUCGAGGCAGACUCUUUAAUGUUCUUCCUCAUGAACCCAGGAAAUGGCCACCCUCUUCUCUGGUAAUUGGCAGCUGUUCUCAUUCUUUCCUAUGCAUCCAUCUUCGGAUAUUGUCUACUACCAAAUCAUUUUACUUCACUUAAUAAAGCUCAGAAUUUUGGGUGAGUAGCUGAUGCAGAAGUAGGUUUUCUUUUCCACUGCUUUGGGUGCAAUCUUAUUUGUUUAAAGAUUUCUCUUCUGGCGCCACUAUAUAGCUUUUUUGGAUUUCAUGUCAGCUUUAGGCUCAUCUUGAGAAGAGUUGUCUGUGUCAAAAUCCAUUCGCAUUUUUUCCCUCACACAAUUUUGUUUUCAUGCUGUAGCAUAUUCCCUUUAUAGAAGCAUUGCUUUUACUAUUUGAAGGAGAAAUCCAUGUAGCUCUCUCUCUCUAAUCUUUAUCGAUGAAGACUAAGUUGAAUCUUAAAUUUCGAUGAUGAAACUAAUUGAUAAUGUUAUGAUCUAAUCUAUGUUUUGAGUGACGCAGGACUAGUUUUGAUCAGAAAAGGUAAAUUGAAUAAAGCAGGAGGAAUCAGAUAUUGGACCGAAGUUAAACAUGUGAGAAGAUUAUAGGGUCGGUCGACGUGUCGGGAGAAGGCUUCAUACCGUGAAUUCAAGCAUCAGACCGAAGAAUUGGAUAUUGCGCUAAGGUGAUCGGAAGUUGCGGGUGUCAACAUGCCAAUUGGGCAAUACGCCGAAGGAGAGGACGAUGCGCCGAAAGAUCGAACGAAGCAUCGGAAGAACCAAAGACAUGUCGGACAACAGAUGAUUCGUGCUUUAUAAUAAUUUGUCUAGAUCGAGUUAGUUUAGGUCGUAAUUGGGUUGGUUUAGAAUGUAAUUAAGUUAACUCAAUUAUGAGCCAACUGGGCCCAAAGUGGAACUGUUUUGGGCCAAAAGAAGUGCCCAUUCACUGACCCAAAAGUUGGGCCAAGUAGUGGUAGCCAGACUAAGCGAUACCUUCAAGCGAUGGUACCGUCCAGAUAUAGUCUUCUAGACCGUGUCAAGCAAUGGUACCACCUAGUGUCAGUGCUGCAAGCGGUAGUACCGCCCAGCACAAGCGAUGAUACUGCUAGGACCGGGGAAACCCGAGAUGAGACCCUUUUUGGCUCUCAUUUUGAAGUCAUUUGGGGUCAAUAAAUAUCCCAGCUAUUCUUGCAUGGAGAAGCAAUAAUUUAAGCAGAAAGGAGUUAUUAUUCUAAAUUGAAAAAGUGUCAAGUGUCCUCCUCCUCUUUAAGUUUCGGGCUUAGUCUAUGAGAGGUAUGAAGCUUGUAAGGGUUGUCUCCCAAACCCGUGAAAAGGAGAAAGAGUGUAAAAGGAUAGUUGGCCUUCGCCUAUUGAAGGAAGACCGGUAGUGGAAGCCGGUGGCCUCGAGUGAAAAGGAAUCUGGAGUGGAUGUAGGUCACAACGAUCGAACCACUAUAAAUCGAUUUGCAUUUCUGUUUUGCUAUUUUCUUUUAUUACAAACUACUUUACUUCCUCGUUACUUUAGCUGCACACUCUUACGAACGUUUUCAAAGUUAAACAUUGUCGAAACGAUUUUAUCGUACGAAGAUUUUCGACUCGACGUGAUUUUUACGUACUCACUAAUUCAUCCCCCCAUUCUCUUAGUACUGAUUCGAUUCUAACAAUUGGUAUUAGAGUCACGUUUUUCUCAUUUAGUUUAACACCAAAGAGAAAUGACUCUUUUGUAUGAAGCCGAGUGAAAUUAUUGUUGACAUGUACACUCGUUUUACGGAUGUCGUUAAUAGUUUAAAAGCACUUAGUAAAAGUUUUUUAAAUCUUGAACUUAUCAAUAACAUUUUACGUCUUCCUAAAAAUUAGGAUCCUAAAGUAUCUGCAAUACAAUAGGCAAAAGACUUAAACAAGUUCUCACUUGAAGAACUUAUCGGGUCAUUAAUGACCUAUGAAAUGAUAUGCAAGACACACGAUGAACUGAUGAACUUGAUGAACAUGAGAAUAACCUUUCAAAGAACAGGAAAGAUUUGACACUUAAAAUAAUAGAAUACCACUUGAGUGAUAACUCAAGUGAUUAUGAUGAUGACCUUGAACUUCUCACAAUAAAGCUUAAAAUAUUCUUAAAAUAAGAAUCAAAGAGUAAAAAUGAACUUAAAAAGAAGAAUCUACCAAAGAAGAAGAAAGUUUUAAAAGUUGCUUGGGACGAAUUGAGCUCAUUCGAAGACGAGAGACAAACCAACAAAGACAAGGUGUCAAACUACGUCUUAAUGGCUUUUGACAACGAGGUAAUCAAAACCCUCUUAGUUUACUAUGAAAUUACUUGAUGCAUUUCAUAAGUUAUUUUUAAAUUAGUAUAUAAAAUAUAAAAAUUAAAUAAAAGAGGAUCAUGUUUUUCUUACUAGUGUUUUUGAAAAAUUUAAAAAAAAUUAAUCAUGACAUUUGCAUUUCUUUAUGAUAAAGAAACAAAAUAUUAGAUUUAAAUCUAAUGCUUGUACACCUAAUAAGAUUAAUCCUAUAUCUGUUUUUAAGAAGCAAUAAUAUGUAUCUUGAUGAUUUCUGUAUUGCUUUUUGAUUUUGAUUGAAAAUGCUUUAUGUUUAAUAAAAUCAUGUUUAAUGUUUUAAUGAUGUAAUGAAGUAAUAAUGUGUAUAUUCUCAUAUUGCUUUUCAAUUAUAAAUGAUGAUGCAUGGUCUUUGUAUGAAAAACUAGAGCAUGAAAUCAAUCACAAAUUUUGGAACUAAAAGAACUAGAGUUAUUUUUAAUCUUAUAGGAAUCUAUCUACGUUGCUUUCAUUGAAUUUUUUGAAAUGUAAUUUUGAUGAUGAUUCGUUUUAAUAAUGAGAUGAUAUAUAUCCAAUCUAAUCAUUUAUCGAUGUUUGUGACAUGAGAUGUAUUUUAUAUAAAAUAUUUUUUCUUGAUUCACGUAUGAUUUACUCGUCUAAGAGAAGAUUUAUCCAAAUGAAUCUUGAUUCUUGACAUUAAUAAUUUGAGAUUUAUUUGAAUCAAAAUAUCUUAUUUGAUCUCCUAUGAUUCUAUUCAUUAUUUACUAAAAAGGAGAUCUGUGAAGAUGAAUCAUUCACGAAUUGAUCUUUCGUAAUUAUGAUUUAUAUAUCUCAUGAUAUAAUUGAAUCAUUGAUUAAAAAAAAAGAUAGAUUAAUGAAUCUAUUUGUCUUUUUUUAAUAAAUCUCUUGAAAAUGAUUUUGAUGAUUUAAAUUUGAAUGAGUCUUAUCUAUAACAUGAUCUUGAUUUUUUUUGGAAUUAUAACAUGACAUUUUUUAUGAAUCAAGAUCAUUUACUAUGAUUCUUCUUUUCGCUAUUUGAGUCAUCCAAAAAGAAUCAUAAUUUUUCUUUUGAUUUUUCGAUAUUCACAAUUUGAAAUUUGGUUCAUGACUCUAUUCAAGAAGUGUAUAUCUCAUCAUCCAAUUAAUUUUUCUUGAUAUUUUUCAUAUGAUGAUAUGAAAUUAUGCAUGAAAUACUCAUGAUAUUAUGUUGAUGCAUACAAAUGAGAAGUUAUGAUCUAUGCAUGGUAGGAUGCAAUGUAAUUUGAUAUUUUGAUACCAUCAUGAUUUGAAAUAUUUAUGAUUUAGAAUGAUACAUACAAUACUUAUGAUUUUUUUAUAAAAUGAUAUGAAAGUCAACAAUUGUCAUUUUCUGAAAUGAUACCUUAUUUCAAUAUGCGAUAUUGAAAUAAGAUUGAUAUUUUAUCCUUCUGAUGAUUUAGAAUGUGAUGUAAAGGGAAAAGAAUUGUAACAUUGUAUGCUUCCUUUCUUUUUUACAAUGAUAAAAGGGGAGAAAAAUUUAUUAACUUGCACAUUACAAAAGGAAAACUUGUUAGGAAGCAAAAUUGCUAGAUUGCACUUCUCAAAAGAGAAGAAAGAACUUGAACAUCACCAAGAAUUACUAGAUUGCAAUAUCAAGAGAAACAAGUGUUAUCUUGCCUAUCUCAAGAAGCAAAACUUAUAAACUUGCAUAUCUUUACAAACUAGCAUAACUUAAAAUUGUUGUUAGUUUGUAUGUUGUAAAACUUACCCAUCUUAAAAAUUUACUAGAUGCACUUUUCCUUUUUUGUUGAUGACAAAGGAGGAGAAGUAACGAUGAUGAUUUGAAUCAUAUGUGGUCUGAUGUAUUUUUAUAUUUUGAAACAUUACAUGAUUUUCUGAAUUUAAAGGUUCUAUCAAUAUGACAUAUUUAUAGGGGGAGUUAAGGUUAACUCUGUCAUCAAUUGGUUGUCAUCAUAAAAAAGGAGGAGAUUGUUGAAUCUCAGAUUUUGAUGAUGUUAUGAUUUAAUCUGUAUUUUAAGUGACGUAGGACUAGCUUCAAUUAGGAGAGACAAAUUGAUUAAAGCACGAGGAAUCGGAUAUUGGGUCGGAGUUAAACAUGUCAGAAGAUUGGACGUCGGACCAGAGGAUCGGUCGAUGUGUCAGCAGAAGGCUUCGUGCCGUGAGUUUGAGCAUCGGGCCGAAGGAUCGGACAUUGAGACAAGGAGAUCGGAAGUUGCGGGUGUCAACAUGCCGAUUGGGCAAUAUGCCGAAGGAUCAUACGAAGCGUUGAAAGAACCAAUGACAUGUCGGACAAUAGAUGAUUUGUGCUUUAUAGCAAUUUGUCUAUCUCGAGUUAGUUUAGGUCGUAAUUAGGUUGGUUUAUAAUGCAAUUAAAUCAACUCAAUUAUGGGCCAAUUGGGCUUAAAGUAGGAUUGUUUUGGUCCAAGAGAGAGACCCAUUCAGUGACCCAAAAAUUGGGUCAGGCGGUGGCACCGCUAGUGGCUCAGUCUCCGAGACACGGUCGCCAAGAUUGUGUCAAGCAAUAGUAUCGCCAGAUUGAGCGGUGGUACCACCCAGACCACUGCCUAGUAUGGCGGUACUACCGCCCAAACACAGUCUUCCAAAUUAUGUCAAGCGGUGGUAUCGUUUAGUGUCAGUGCUGCAUGCAGUAGUAUCGCCCAGCACAGGUGAUGGUACCGUCAGGACCCGAGAAACCCGAGAUGAGAAUUUUUUUGGCUCUAAUUUUGAAGUUAUUUGGGAUCUAUAAAUACCCCAGCUAUUCCUCCAUGGAGAAGCAAAAAAUUUGAACAGAAAUGUGUUGUUAUUCUAAGUUGAAAAAGUGCUAAGUAUCCUCGUCUUUAAGUUUGGGGCUUAGUCUAAGAAAGGUGUAAGGCUUGUAAUGGUUGUCUCUUAAACAUGUGAAGAGGAGAAAAGUAUAAAAGGAUAGUUGGUCUUCGCCUAUUGAAGGAAGACUGGUAGUGGAAGCCGGUGGCCUCAAGUGAAGAGGAAUCGAGAGUGGAUGUAGGUCACGACGAUCGAACCACUAUAAAUCGGUUUGCAUUUCUAUUUUACUAUUUUUCUUCAUUGCAAACUGCUUUACUUUCUUAUUAUUUUAGCUACUUACUCUUACGAACGCUUUCAAAGUUAAACAUUGUCGAAACGAUUUUAUCGUACGAAGAUUUUCGACUCGACGUGAUUUUUACGUACGCACUCCCCCCUUUUAAUGCUACUCAAUCCUACCACAGUUUUUUUUCUUGGGCAUCCUUGUUCAAUGAACUAGAAGUCAUGCAAUGCAUCUAAAUAUUCCACCAUGACCAAAAGGUAUGACUCUUCAUCUUGUGUUUCAAUUUCUCCGCUAAUUGGAAUGAAUGCCUGCUUUGACCCCUGAGAUUCUAGCAUAUCAUGAACCCACCAGUCAUCAGUUCAUUGCGGAAGUUCAUAUUGUAUGUUCUUUUAAGAAAUUUGUGGUUGGGCAUUUGCUCAGCAUGUUUUGCUGUACUUUAUGGACAUUAAUAGCCUGUGUUGUUUCUUUAGUGCUUGACAGAAUUUGUAUCCAUCAGUUUACUACUACCGGUUGUUUCAAUCUUAUGUUCCCUAAAGCAGCCAAGGAUAUAUCUGAUGCUCCAUAGAAUCAAACUAGUAUCAUCCUGAUGCAUCUGUAUAGGCCAAGUCUGAUGCUUUUAGUUUCUGGUUUUGCCUUCUCCAUUUGUCUCCUGUAUUUGCCUGAGGUUUUACAUCUCAAAGAUGAUUGAAAUUUGAUGAGCCUAAACUACUAAAUCAAAGUUUAUUUACUAUAGUCA